rnacentral:SRP_RNA from 13 species
UGGCUAGGCUGGGAGGUUAGGCGUCUCCUGUAACUUGAAAUCGCCUUUGCGAGAGCCGAAAACUUGGGGGCGGCAUAAGUUCCCAAAUUUCAUUCUUAAUUAGUAUGUCGACGUUUCGUCCUUUGGGGUAAGAUGGUAAGAGACUCUCUUUCUUAAGAAAGAGUCAAACUCUUUUCGUAUUUCGAAACCCGCCAGGCCCGGAAGGGAGCAACGGUAGAAUUUACUUCGACGCUCAAGGGGUAGCGGGGCUGAGUACUAAUUAAGGCAAAAUGAGAUUUGGUGCUUUUGUCCACCCCAAGGAAGCCA